rnacentral:rRNA from 1 species
GACGAACGCUGGCGGCGUGCCUAAUACAUGCAAGUAGAACGCUGAAGAGAGGAGCUUACUCUUCUUGGAUGAGUUGCGAACGGGUGAGUAACGCGUAGGUAACCUGUCUUGUAGCGGGGGAUAACUAUUGGAAACGAUAGCUAAUACCGCAUAACAAUGGAUGACACAUGUCAUUUAUUUGAAAGGGGCAAUUGCUCCACUACAAGAUGGACCUGCGUUGUAUUAGCUAGUAGGUGAGGUAAUGGCUCACCUAGGCGACGAUACAUAGCCGACCUGAGAGGGUGAUCGGCCACACUGGGACUGAGACACGGCCCAGACUCCUACGGGAGGCAGCAGUAGGGAAUCUUCGGCAAUGGGGGCAACCCUGACCGAGCAACGCCGCGUGAGUGAAGAAGGGUUUCGGAUCGUAAAGCUCUGUUGUAAGUCAAGAACGGGUGUGAGAGUGGAAAGUUCACACUGUGACGGUAGCUUACCAGAAAGGGACGGCUAACUACGUG